GACGUAGGGCGCGAGCGUGUCCGGAUUUAUUGGGCGUAAAGAGCUCGUAGGCGGCUUGUUGCGUCAGCUGUGAAAACCCGCAGCUCAACUGUGGGCUUGCAGCUGAUACGGGCAGGCUUGAGUUCGGUAGGGGAGACUGGAAUUCCUGGUGUAGCGGUGAAAUGCGCAGAUAUCAGGAGGAACACCAAUGGCGAAGGCAGCUCGCUGGGACGGUACUGACGCUGAGACGCGAAAGCGUGGGGAGCAACAGG
rnacentral:rRNA from 1 species